rnacentral:rRNA from 1 species
UACGUAGGCAGCAAGCGUUGUUCGGAGUUACUGGGCGUAAAGGGUGCGUAGGCGGCCUUAUAAGUAUGGUGUGAAAUCUCCCGGCUUAACUGGGAGGGUGCGCUAUAGACUGUGGGGCUAGAGUGUGGGAGAGGAAAGUGGAAUUCCUGGUGUAGCGGUGAAAUGCGUAGAUAUCUGGAGGAACACCAGUGGCGAAAGCGCGUGACUGGGCCACAACUGACGCUGAGGAACGAAAGCCAGGGGAGCGAAAGGG